CUUUUGACCUCGGAUCAGGUAGGGAUACCCGCUGAACUUAAGCAUAUCAAUAAGCGGAGGAAAAGAAACCAACAGGGAUUGCCCUAGUAACGGCGAGUGAAGCGGCAACAGCUCAAAUUUGAAAUCUGGCUCUUUCAGAGUCCGAGUUGUAAUUUGCAGAGGGCGCUUUGGCGUUGGCAGCGGUCCAAGUUCUUUGGAACAGGACGUCACAGAGGGUGAGAAUCCCGUACGUGGUCGCUAGCCUUCGCCGUGUAAAGCCCCUUCGACGAGUCGAGUUGUUUGGGAAUGCAGCUCUAAAUGGGAGGUAAAUUUCUUCUAAAGCUAAAUACUGGCCAGAGACCGAUAGCGCACAAGUAGAGUGAUCGAAAGAUGAAAAGCACUUUGGAAAGAGAGUCAAAUAGCACGUGAAAUUGUUGAAAGGGAAGCGCUUGCAGCCAGACUUGCCUGUAGUUGCUUAUCCGGACUUUUGUCCGGUGCACUCUUCUGCGGGCAGGCCAGCAUCAGUUUGGGCGGUUGGAUAAAGGUCUCUGUCAUGUACCUCUCUUCGGGGAGGCCUUAUAGGGGAGACGACAUGCAACCAGCCUGGACUGAGGUCCGCGCAUCUGCUAGGAUGCUGGCGUAAUGGCUGUAAGCGGCCCGUCUUGAAACACGGACCAAGGAGUCUAACAUCUAUGCGAGUGUUUGGGUGUCAAGCCCAGACGCGUAAUGAAAGUGAACGGAGGUGGGAACCCUUUGGGUGCACCAUCGACCGAUCCUGAUGUCUUCGGAUGGAUUUGAGUAAGGGCAUGGCUGUUGGGACCCGAAAGAUGGUGAACUAUGCUUGAAUAGGGUGAAGCCAGAGGAAACUCUGGUGGAGGCUCGCAGCGGUUCUGACGUGCAAAUCGAUCGUCAAAUUUGGGCAUAGGGGCGAAAGACUAAUCGAACUAUCUAGUAGCUGGUUUCCUGCCCGAAGUUUCCCCUCAGGAUAGCAGUAACGUAUUCAGUUUUAUGAGGUAAAGCGAAUGAUUAGAGGCCUG
rnacentral:rRNA from 1 species